CAGAGCGAAUCGCUAAAAGACCGUCCCAGUUCGGAUUGCAGGCUGCAACCCGCCUGCAUGAAGUUGGAAUCGCUAGUAAUCGCGGAUCAGCAUGCCGCGGUGAAUACGUUCCCGGGCCUUGUACACACCGCCCGUCACACCAUGAGAGUUGGCAAUACCCAACGUACGUGAUCUAACCCGCAAGGGAGGAAGCGUCCUAAGGUAGGGUCAGCGAUUGGGGUGAAGUCGUAACAAGGUAAC
rnacentral:rRNA from 1 species